ACUUACUUACUUAUUUUUCUCUCUUUUCUGUUUCCAUACUUCUGUGAAGCUGCAAUGGGAAAUUGUGAAAAGUGCUAUACAAAUAAAUUGAAUUGAAUUGAAUCUUGUGAAAGGAAGAAGCAAUUUAGUAGAAAUGAUUAGUGUUCUUUAAUCAGAUGGAACACAAAUGUAACAGCAUUAUGUAUGGUUAAAAACAUCUGUGAGGCUUUUUAUCCAAAGAAUACCAAGCUAACUGUGAAGCAUGGGGAUCUCUGCAUCGUGUUUUUGGGCUGUCUUGCUGGAAAACGGACUUGGUGUAUAACGAGGAAGGAGGAUUAUCUACAAAUACUGAAGCAAAGCCUCAAGACAUCAGAAAGAAAACCAGCCAAAAAACAACCAGGUCUUCCAUAAGGACAAUAAUCCAUUACCAAGUAUACUUCCAGUGUACAAAAUAUCUUAAAGACAACAAAGUGAAAGCAUUGGAGUUGCCUGAUCAUAAAUCCCUGAGCUGAAACGUACUGAAUCAACGAAGCCCACAAUCCUGACUGAAUUACACCAGUUCUAUCAGGAAGAAUGGGCAAAAUGACAGCAAAGUAUUUUGUGAAGCUGAUUGAAGGCUGAUUGAAGGAAGUUAAGCAAUUAAAAGGCAUUGAUAUCAAAUUCUAUUGAACUGAGUAGAAUGUAAAAAGCAAUCCACCAUAGUCCUACACUACUAAGCACAAAUCAGUCCGGAAAAUGCUGUGAAAGCAGUGUGGGCCGGCUGUGGCCCAGCGGCUCACUGGCAGGUGUUGAUGGCGCUGUUGGCCAAGGCCAAGGGAGCUGUGCUGGCUCUCGGCUCUCGCUGCAGUCUGCCUCUGCCUGCCCGGGCAGUCCCACUGGCAGCUGGCAUCACGCUGCGGGCAUCUCUCCCAACUAUAAUUACCAACUCCAGCUGCAGAUGGAGACAAGCAGGCGGACCAGUCGCUGCAUCCUCCACGGCCUUCAGCCACCUCCACAUUCCACCCCACAAAAUGCUGAAGCACACCCCAUUCUAGGAUGAGCACCUCACAUCUUACCAGCUAGUAACAAAAGCUUUUUAAUAGACAACACCAGUACGUGUCAGCUUGUCAGUUAAGGCUCUAUUAUGUAAAAGUGUUGAAAUAAUUUUCUCACCACUCCUACAUGGUGCUCUGUCAAAGUGUGCAUUUGUCAAAUCAAGAAAAAAAAAUCUGUUCUCUCACAUCUUUCACACAUCCCCUCACUCGGCCCAUAGAUACAUGUAUCAGCUCACAGAUCUGUGGAAAUUUAAAACACCACUAAGCUCAGAAAGAAAUAUAUAUUUCCAUUUAAAGGAAUACUCUAUAAAAUCUCAGCCUUUUCUCCACUGCAUCUGUGGUGUGUUAACCUUUGUUAUUAGCACGAAAAAUAAAUAUCUAAAGCAAUCAGUCCUCAGAUUAAACAGACAUAAGAAAAGGUUUUUCAAAGGCUGUUCUUAUGCAGCUUUUUUAGGACUUUCCAGCACUGGGGAAACACAUUAAAAAGCAAUUCUCAAAUAUGAGGCAUAACUACAAAUUCUUUCCUCUUAGAAAGACGUCAUCUCUCUGACAGGGUGAACAAUACAGGUUUAGAGCAGGAAAUGUAUUCCUGUAUCGUCCACACACAAAAAACAAACAAAAAAACGGCUGUUUUAAAUAAAUAUCUAUUUUAAGCAAGCUUAAGUAAACAGGUUGAUUUCAAGGAUAUUACAUUUAUAAGAGACAAGCAUGAAGUUAAAAUUUCUGACACCUUUGAGUAUUCUACAACAUUCACCCAUGUUACAUGCCUACUUUCCUUAGGAAACAUUGAGAAUAUUCACAUGUUCAACAGGAUGUUGCAUCAUCUCAAUCCUGUUUCAUCAAUAUCCUAAUAGCCAUGGCAAGAAGAAAUGUCUUACUCUCACUGUAUUCACUGAUAGAGACUUUAAAGCAUUUUUCUACAUUUUUCUGGAUAAAGCUGUCUGCCAAAUGCCAUAAAUGUAAAAUUGUACUCUAUUUCUUUAUGUUCUAUAAUGUGAUAUUGACUGAUGAAAUUCAGUCCUAUUAACCAAAUUAUGGAUUGAAAGCACAUUGCUAAUAGAAAAAUAAUGAAUUUGAAUAAAGAAGAAUGUCCUCAUCCCAAUAAGAUGACUUCUAGUUACAUUAACUACAUUUUGUAAAUGAGCCUUUUUAUGCUAUGUGAACUUAGACCUUACUUCCAAUACUGCUACUUGUUUCAGAAUAAAAUACAGCCACUGUCAAAUACACCUUAAAAUACACCUUAGUUAGAAACCUUAGGUAGAAACCUUUAAGAUUAGUUUUUAUUUAUUUAUUUUAUUUAUUUAUUUUCUGGUUCAUCCAGACAAAAUCUAUCAGAGCAGAAAGUUGUGCUCAUCUUCUUAUUUAUGAAUUUCUUUAUCUCCCUUAUAUAUUGUUUUGGUUAUAUUCCUGUUAAUUAAGUGUGUAAUUUAUGGUUGCUCAUCAUUUCAUAAAUGCUCUCCCUGCAGAUGUGAGCUAUACUCCUCCACAGGUUUCCAGAGUUUUUGUUUUCUAACAUGAGUGCAUUAGAUUAGUGAGUGUGUGUUUGUCUGUGUCCAUGCCUGUUUGAUGGUGUGUGUGUGUGUGUGUGUGUGUGUGUGUGUGUGUGUGUGUGUGUGUGUGUGUGUGUGUGUGUGUGUGUGUGUGUGUGUGUGUGUGUGUGUGUGUGUGUGUGUGUGUGUGUGUGUGUUCAAACUGGGUUUGUUCCUGGGCCCAGGCAUCCUCUGAAUCAGACACGGUGUUGCGGUGACAGAUGGGAACUCCAGGGAGACUAAAGGAAAAAAGAGAAUCACACAUAGUCAAUGUUUUCUCCACAUCUACACAGAAAUACACUCCUAACAGCACUAUAUCCACUAAUCAACAUUAUUUCAACUCUAAUAUUGCCCAACCUAAUCUCUAGCCACCACAUGUGUUGUGUGCCUACAUGUUAUUAUCACAGACAAAGAUGUUCUGCGUAUUUCCCUGCAGGGAGAAUUCAACAGAAUAUCUGUGCACUUGUUACUUUUACAUUUGUUGAAUCUGGUCUGUAAAUGCUGGUGUUUAUUGUCUUAUGGUAUAAAGUCAAUGAAGUAUGACAUAAAAGCCACAGUACAAUGAGAGAAUUGUUUUGUUGUCACUGUUGUUAUUGUUGCUUCACUUGCCAUACUAUAAAACCACUCUCAGAAAAAUAUAUUACCGUAAUAAAGCAAACAAAUUGGGUAUUUGAGAAACAUUUCGUCUCCUUACAAAAUGCUGCUUAUUUUAUACGAUAAAACAUAUCAUGCGUUUUUAAUGUGUGUUUUGAAGAUUAUUGUUGAAAAAUUAUUAGAUACUGUAACCAUGUAAAUCACUGGAUUGCGGAAGAAGUAAACAUUUUACUGGCAUUGAACUAAGAAGGAGUGACAUUGUUAAUGCUAAAAAUCUUACAUUUAAUAGUUAGAAACAAAUGAAUAAUACUUUUUUUUUUAAUUAUUGUGAUAUCUUUAUGUGGUGAUGUGUGUUGGCUUCGACUUUGUAAUCUGGUUUCUAUCACUCUGGUUUGUUCUUCAUGUUGUCUCGUUUCAUUGUUGCCUCCUGCUUGCUCAGUUAAGAUUAAAUCUACAUCUGGAUUACUGGAAAGCUGUUUUGUGACACUGAUUUUGCAUUGUUAAAAACUCUGUACAAAUAAAAUAAAAUCGAACCGAAUAAUACUAAAGGUAGAGAGUGAGUUUUUCUCUCAUCACCCAAGUAGUGUAUGCAGGUAUAUUUGAGUCUAUUGGCUGCUCUAGAUGCGAAUGAUA